AUUAGUUGUCUGGGGUGCUUUUAUAGCUGAGAUAAUACCCAUUGAACCUGAUACAGUUUGGACUGUCGGAGGAAGACUUCUUGAUAAUUCU
rnacentral:ncRNA from 2 species